UACGUAGGUGGCAAGCGUUGUCCGGAUUUACUGGGCGUAAAGAGCGCGCAGGCGGUCGUUCAAGUCGCGUGUGAAAGCCCCCGGCUCAACUGGGGAGGGUCACGCGAUACUGAUCGACUGGAAGGCAGGAGAGGGUAGUGGAAUUCCCGGUGUAGUGGUGAAAUGCGUAGAUAUCGGGAGGAACACCAGUGACGAAGGCGACUACCUGGCCUGUUCUUGACGCUGAGGCGCGAAAGCUAGGGGAGCAAACGGG
rnacentral:rRNA from 1 species